CAGUAGGGAAUCUUCCGCAAUGGGCGAAAGCCUGACGGAGCAAUGCCGCGUGAGUGAUGAAGGUUUUCGGAUCGUAAAGCUCUGUUGCCAGGGAAGAACGCUUGGGAGAGUAACUGCUCUCAAGGUGACGGUACCUGAGAAGAAAGCCCCGGCUAACUACGUGCCAGCAGCCGCGGUAAUACGUAGGGGGCAAGCGUUGUCCGGAAUUAUUGGGCGUAAAGCGCGCGCAGGCGGUCAUUUAAGUCUGGUGUUUAAUCCCGGGGCUCAACCCCGGAUCGCACUGGAAACUGGGUGACUUGAGUGCAGAAGAGGAGAGUGGAAUUCCACGUGUAGCGGUGAAAUGCGUAGAUAUGUGGAGGAACACCAGUGGCGAAGGCGACUCUCUGGGCUGUAACUGACGCUGAGGCGCGAAAGCGUGGGGAGCAAACAGGAUUAGAUACCCUGGUAGUCCACGCCGUAAACGAUGAGUGCUAGGUGUUAGGGGUUUCGAUACCCUUGGUGCCGAAGUUAACACAUUAAGCACUCCGCCUGGGGAGUACGGUCGCAAGACUGUAACUCAAAGGAAUUGACGGGGACCCGCACAAGCAGUGGAGUAUGUGGUUUAAUUCGAAGCAACGCGAAGAACCUUACCAGGUCUUGACAUCCCUCUGAUCGGUACAGAGAUGUAUCUUUCCUUCGGGACAGAGGAGACAGGUGGUGCAUGGUUGUCGUCAGCUCGUGUCGUGAGAUGUUGGGUUAAGUCCCGCAACGAGCGCAACCCUUGAUCUUAGUUGCCAGCAUUUCGGAUGGGCACUCUAAGGUGACUGCCGGUGACAAACCGGAGGAAGGUGGGGAUGACGUCAAAUCAUCAUGCCCCUUAUGACCUGGGCUACACACGUACUACAAUGGCCGGUACAACGGGCUGUGAAGCCGCGAGGUGGAACGAAUCCUAAAAAGCCGGUCUCAGUUCGGAUUGCAGGCUGCAACUCGCCUGCAUGAAGUCGGAAUUGCUAGUAAUCGCGGAUCAGCAUGCCGCGGUGAAUACGUUCCCGGGUCUUGUACACACCGCCCGUCACACCACGAGAGUUUAUAACACCCGAAGUCGGUGGGGUAACCGCAAGGAGCCAGC
rnacentral:rRNA from 1 species